rnacentral:rRNA from 1 species
UAGGGAAUCUUCCGCAAUGGACGCAAGUCUGACGGAGCAACGCCGCGUGAGUGAAGAAGGAUUUCGGUUCGUAAAACUCUGUUGUUAGAGAAGAACAGCGCAUAGAGUAACUGUUAUGCGUGUGACGGUAUCUAACCAGAAAGCCACGGCUAACUACGUGCCAGCAGCCGCGGUAAUACGUAGGUGGCAAGCGUUGUCCGGAUUUAUUGGGCGUAAAGCGAGCGCAGGCGGUCAAUUAAGUCUGAUGUGAAAGCCCCCGGCUCAACCGGGGAGGGUCAUUGGAAACUGGUUGACUUGAGUGCAGAAGAGGAAAGUGGAAUUCCAUGUGUAGCGGUGAAAUGCGCAGAGAUAUGGAGGAACACCAGUGGCGAAGGCGACUUUCUGGUCUGUAACUGACGCUGAUGUGCGAAAGCGUGGGAAUCAAACAGG